rnacentral:rRNA from 1 species
AGCCAUGCGAGUCGACAUAGCAAUAUGUGGCAUACGGCUCAGUAACACGUAGUCAACAUGCCCAGGGGACGUGGAUAACCUCGGGAAACUGAGGAUAAACCGCGAUAGGUCAUCACUUCUGGAAUGGGUAAUGACUUAAACCUAUAUGGCCCCUGGAUUGGACUGCGGCCGAUCAGGCUGUUGGUGAGGUAAUGGCCCACCAAACCUGUAACCGGUACGGGCUCUGAGAGGAGGAGCCCGGAGAUGGGCACUGAGACAAGGGCCCAGGCCCUAUGGGGCGCAGCAGGCGCGAAACCUCUGCAAUAGGCGAAAGCUUGACAGGGUUACUCUGAGUGAUUUCCGUUAAGGAGAUCUUUUGGCACCUCUAAAAAUGGUGCAGAAUAAGGGGUGGGCAAGUCUGGUGUCAGCCGCCGCGGUAAUACCAGCACCCCGAGUGGUCGGGACGAUUAUUGGGCCUAAAGCAUCCGUAGCUUGUUCUGCAAGUCCUCCGUUAAAUCCACCUGCUCAACAGAUGGGCUGCGGGGGAUACUACAGGGCUAGGAGGCGGGAGAGGCAAACGGUACUCGAUGGGUAGGGGUAAAAUCCGUU